GACGAACGCUGGCGGCGUGCCUAAUACAUGCAAGUCGAACGCAGUGGGGACGGGUGAGUAACACGUGGGUAACCUCCCAUCAGAGGGGAUAACACUUGGAAACAGGUGCUAAACCGAUACUGAUGGAUGGACCCGCGGUGCAUUAGCUAGUUGGUGAGGUAACGGCUCACCAAGGCCACGAUGCAUAGCCGACCUGGAGGGGGGAUCGGCCAAACGGGGACGGGGACACGGCCCAGAGUCCUCGGGAGGGCAGCGGUAGGGAAUCUUCGGCAAUGGAGGAAAGUCGGACCGAGCAACGCCGCGUGAGUGAAGAAGGUUUUCGGAUCUUAAGACUCGUUUGUUAGAGAAGCGGUAUCUAACCAGAAAGCCACGGCUAACUACGUGCCAGCAGCCGCGGUAAUUC
rnacentral:rRNA from 1 species